rnacentral:rRNA from 1 species
UGGGGAAUUUUGCGCAAUGGGCGAAAGCCUGACGCAGCAACGCCGCGUGAGUGAUGAAGGCUUUCGGGUCGUAAAGCUCUGUCAGGGGGAAAGAAGUGUAUGGUGGUUAAUACCCACUAUACUUGACGGUACCCCCAAAGGAAGCACCGGCUAACUCCGUGCCAGCAGCCGCGGUAAUACGGAGGGUGCGAGCGUUGUUCGGAAUUAUUGGGCGUAAAGCGCGUGUAGGCGGUUUGUUAAGUCUGAUGUGAAAGCCCCGGGCUCAACCUGGGAAGUGCAUUGGAAACUGGCAGACUUGAAUACGGGAGAGGGUAGUGGAAUUCCUAGUGUAGGAGUGAAAUCCGUAGAUAUUAGGAGGAACACCGGUGGCGAAGGCGGCUGCCUGGACCGAUAUUGACGC